rnacentral:rRNA from 1 species
ACUUUAUAGCUUGCUAUGAUAAAAAUUAGUGGCAGACGGGUGAGUAAUGCAUAGGAAUCUACCUAAGUAGUAUGGGAUAGCCACUAGAAAUGGUGGGUAAUACUGUAUAAUCCCUGCGGGGGAAAGAUUUAUCGCUAUUAGAUGAGCCUAUGUUAGAUUAGCUAGUUGGUAGGGUAAAGGCCUACCAAGGCGGUGAUCUAUAGCUGGUCUGAGAGGAUGAUCAGCCACACUGGAACUGAGAUACGGUCCAGACUCCUACGGGAGGCAGCAGUGGGGAAUAUUGGACAAUGGGCGCAAGCCUGAUCCAGCUAUGCCGCGUGAGUGAGGAAGGCCUUAGGGUUGUAAAACUCUUUCAGUGGGGAAGAUAAUGACGGUACCCACAGAAGAAGUCCCGGCAAACUCCGUGCCAGCAGCCGCGGUAAUACGGAGGGGGCAUGCGUUGUUCGGGAUUAUUGGGCGUUGAGGGCAUGUUGGCGGUUCGGUAAGUUAAAGGUGAAAUGCCAGGGCUUAACCCUGGAGCUGCUUUA